CACAAAAUUAUUUACGAGAUGGUUGUAAGAGAGCCACUUGGGGAGUUUUUUCAAUUUUUUUAAUGAAGAACCAUAUAAAGAUACUGACGUGUUACAUCAAACAGAACAAAGGAUUUGGCCAGAAAGCGACUGCGUUAAAGUCCUAAGGAACAUACCAGAAGGAAUAUUUUGCGGCGGUAGAGGUCAUGACGGCGGGUAUCCUUCUAUCUAAAGCAUUCCUAGCAAUCCAGUCGUAAUGGUAUGGAAUAUCCGUGUAAACUAUGAUGGACCUAGAUACUUCCAUGUUUUUGAAGGAGACCAGGCCAGUUUGCAAGUAUCCAUCAAUUAUGAGAGGACUGCCAGAAUCACCGCUGAAAAUA